AUUGAACGCUGGCGGCAUGCCUUACACAUGCAAGUCGAACGGCAGCGGACCUUCGGGUGCCGGCGAGUGGCGAACGGGUGAGUAAUAUAUCGGAACGUACCUUUCAGUGGGGGAUAACGUAGCGAAAGUUACGCUAAUACCGCAUAUUCUGUGAGCAGGAAAGCAGGGGAUCGCAAGACCUUGCGCUGAUUGAGCGGCCGAUAUCAGAUUAGCUAGUUGGUGAGGUAAAGGCUCACCAAGGCGACGAUCUGUAGCGGGUCUGAGAGGAUGAUCCGCCACACUGGAACUGAGACACGGUCCAGACUCCUACGGGAGGCAGCAGUGGGGAAUUUUGGACAAUGGGCGUAAGCCUGAUCCAGCCAUGCCGCGUGAGUGAAGAA
rnacentral:rRNA from 1 species